UUACGGUCAAAUCACGCUGAAACACCGGUUCUCGUUCGAUCACCGAAGUUAAGCAUCGUAGAGCCAGGUCAGUACUUAGAUGGGGGACCGCUUGGGAACACCUGGUACUGUAAA